rnacentral:sRNA from 1 species
AACUUCUUCAUAUUCAGGUUCUAACUCUCCCGCUUUUGCUGCUAUCC